UACGUAGGGGGCAAGCGUUGUCCGGAAUCAUCGGGCGUAAAGAGCGCGUAGGCGGCCCUGUAAGUCCGCUGUGAAAGUCAAGGGCUCAACCCUUGAAUGCCGGUGGAUACUGCAGGGCUAGAGUCCGGAAGAGGCGAGUGGAAUUCCUGGUGUAGCGGUGAAAUGCGCAGAUAUCAGGAGGAACACCGAUGGCGAAGGCAGCUCGCUGGGACGGUACUGACGCUGAGGAGCGAAAGCGUGGGGAGCGAACAGG
rnacentral:rRNA from 1 species